rnacentral:tRNA from 1 species
GUGGCUAUCGUAUAACGGUUAUUACAUCGGGUUGUGGUUCCGAUUAUCUCGGUUCGAUUCCGAGUAGCCACCCA